GAUGAAGAACGUAGCGAAAUGCGAUAAGUAAUGUGAAUUGCAGAAUUCAGUGAAUCAUCGAAUCUUUGAACGCACAUUGCGCCCGCCAGCACUCUGGCGGGCAUGCCUGUUCUAGCGUCAUUUCAACCAUCAAGCCCCCAGGGGCUUGUGCUGGGGCCCUGCGGCUGCCCGCAGGCCCUGAAAACCAGUGGCGGGCUCGCUAGUCACACCGAGCGCAGUAGCACAUCUCGCUCAGGGCGUGCGGCGGGCUCCUGCCGUGAAACCCCCCACUGUAACCCCAAAGGUUGACCUCGGAUCAGGUAGGAAUACCCGCUGAACUUAAGCAUAUCAAUAAGCGGAGGA
rnacentral:misc_RNA from 1 species